rnacentral:rRNA from 1 species
CCUACGGGAGGCAGCAGUGAGGAAUAUUGGUCAAUGGGCUUACGCCUGAACCAGCCAAGUCGCGUGAGGGAAGACUGCCCUAUGGGUUGUAAACCUCUUUUGUCAGGGAGCAAUUGGCGCUACGUGUAGCGUUAUCGGGAGUACCUGAAGAAAAAGCAUCGGCUAACUCCGUGCCAGCAGCCGCGGUAAUACGGAGGAUGCGAGCGUUAUCCGGAUUUAUUGGGUUUAAAGGGUGCGUAGGCGGAAUGCCAAGUCAGCGGUAAAAUCGCGGGGCUCAACCCCGCUCCGCCGUUGAAACUGGCGGUCUUGAGUGGGCGAGAAGUAUGCGGAAUGCGUGGUGUAGCGGUGAAAUGCAUAGAUAUCACGCAGAACUCCGAUUGCGAAGGCAGCAUACCGGCGCCCAACUGACGCUGAAGCACGAAAGCGUGGGUAUCGAACAGGAUUAGAUACCCGGGUAGUC